GCCCGCCUAGCUCAAUCGGAUAGAGCGUCAGACUCUUAGGCUUUACGGGUGAUCUGAAGGCUGCGAGUUCGACCCUCGCGGUGGGCU